CCUUGGUGGUCAAAUUGGAAAUGUGGAUGAAAACGGGCUUCCUCACCCCUCUUGAAAGUGAGGUGCUGUUUUCUUCUUUAUUCGGAUAAAGGUGAGUGGCAAAGUCUGGUUCAACUAAGGAGUAGGUCGUCCUAUCAGAUAGAGCGGGUAAAUGAGAAAAUUUUCUUGUUCUUACUUGGGCUGCUUAGCAUCUAUUUCUCGUAUAUCGCUCCACACCGAGAAGAGGGAUGUGUACCUCCAGCAACAACAAGAAUGGAACCAUAGGCUCCUAUGCUGGGAGUUGGGUAUAGGUCUUAUCACUU
rnacentral:lncRNA from 1 species